GGGCGCCGCCGCCGCCCCUUCCGCCGCGGGGUGCGAGCGGGUGGGGCAUGGCCGUCCGCGCGUGGCCUCCCGGGAGCCGUUGCUGAACCCGGGGGCAACGGUCGUCCGCGGGGCGGGGGCGGCGCGGCACCAGGGCGCCCGCUAGAAACGCCGCGUUUUGGGGUUCAGGGGAGCGCCGACUCCGCCGCGAGGGCGGGCGGAGGUGCGCGGCGCUGCGGGCGGGGAGGUCCGGGAGCGGGGAGUUCGGUCCGUCCCCUCCUUCCCGUCCGUAGCAGCAAAAAUGAAAUUGCCGUUGCGGGUGUUUAUUUAAAAACGUGGCCACCCCCUGCACGAGAGAGAUGCAAAAAUACGAAAAAACAAAUUUUUCCCGUGAAACUCGCUGCCCGGCAUGUGUUGGGGCAGUUAAAGGUCCCCGGAGAGGGGGCUGCUGACCUGCACCAGCAGCAGGGUGAGCUGCAGCCCAGAUGGCAGGAGAUGGGCCAAGCCUGGCUUCAGCAGGGAGAGCACAGCCCCCCGUGAUUCCAGUGUUUCAGCCAUUUUCUGCUGUGAGGUGCUGGGUUGGGCGGAAAAAGCUUGGUCAAAAGACUGCCUAAGGCCUUACUGGUCAAAUAACGUACAACUAAAUUCACUGCCGCGUAUGAGGCAUCCUGGUGGUGCUCUGCUCAGGCUGUAAAACCACCCAUUUCACGGCCUUGAUUCACUCUGCAGACCCAUCGGUAAAGUGGCUGCUGCUUACUUGUCAGAGGACAGUGCGAGGAGCUUGGCGUCAGAACAAGGCGGAGUGAUCUUUAGAUUGACUAAGGGAGAUUGAGCGGGGCAGAUGCUGUUAUUCUGCCCUCUGCCAGAGGAACAUAGGCCAGGGAGAAUUCCCACAGCCUGGAGGGCUCAAGCAGGCUUAACAGAGAGCUCAGUAACCAGUUCACGCUGGCUGAUACAAUGUCGGAAAAGAUCCCUGACACCAGCAGAGGCUACAGCUCCAGCACCAAGUACUACCAUCAAGGAGUGGGCUCUACCCACCUCACUAGGCAGUGAGCGCAGUGAGUCUACAACAGUUGCUCAAAGCUGGGUCUCCACAGCAGUGGCACAACAAUAACUGUGACACAGGAACAGUCACUCUUAGCUCUAAAAUGCAUCUAAGAUUUGGGGAUAGAGUAUACCUAAGUAUACCUAGUAACACAGAACUACGGUAGAGUUCAAUUUUCACACAUGGGUUAUAAACUUAAUAAAAAAGAAAAAC